GUCGUGAGAUGUUGGGUUAAGUCCCGCAACGAGCGCAACCCCUACUGUGUGUUGUAUCACUCACACGGGACUGCCGAGAGAAACUCGGAGGAAGGUGGGGAUGACGUCAAGUCAGCAUGGCCCUUACGUCCUGGGCUACACCCACGCUACAAUGGCCGGUACAACGGGCUGCGAAACCGCGAGGUGGAGCUAAUCCCUUAAAGCCGGUCUCAGUUCGGAUCGUAGGCUGCAACUCGCCUACGUGAAGCCGGAGUUGCUAGUAACCGCAGGUCAGCAUUACUGCGGUGAAUAUGUUCCCGGGCCUUGUACACACCGCCCGUCACGUCAUGGAAGCCGAUAACACCCGAAGCCGGUGGGCCAACCGUAAGGAGGCAGCCGUCGAAGGUGGGAUUGGUGACUGGGACGAAGUCGUAACAAGGUAGCCGUACCGGAAGGUGCGGCUGGAUCACCUCCUUUCUAGGGAGAGGGAGUCAGUGCUAUCGGUACGGCACUGACGUUAGACACCCUCCCAGGUUGAUCGUUUCGAUCGCAAGCGUGUCCCGCUGGGUGGGCGCGCUCCUCGGAUCCGUCCGAGGGAGCUCGAGGCGACCCAGCAACCGAUACCGAACCCUCUCGUACAUGGAUUUCCUGUCACUCUUCAAGUGUUAGGGUGCAGCCGCCGGCUGCCGCGCCCGCAAGGGAACGGCGUCGUCGGGCCCCGGCAGGCGUUUAGCUCAGCUGGUUAGAGCACUGCCCUGAUAAGGCAGAGGUCUCUGGUUCGAGUCCAGAAACGCCCACCACCUAACCGUUCGCGGCAAGGGGACGUAGCUCAGUUGGAAGAGCAUCUCCUUUGCAAGGAGAGGGUCAGGAGUUCGAGUCUCCUCGUCUCCACCACCUCCCCGCAAUCGUCGCGAGCACAUUUGAGGUACUUGCACUGCAGCGAAACCUCUCCAUCGAAAUGAAGAUCGGGUAGACCCCGCAGACCUCGCAGGUAUCCUGGCUGUCAGCUGACGGCUCGAGGCGCCUCGGGCCGUCAAUCUGUGUCUACCGCGGUGUUCCCCUGACCCGUGGGCUCGAGCAAAGCGUUCGAGGUCACCGACCAGCGGAUCGCUGGAAGCCCAAGCCACCUUUGGUGGCGCCGGCUUGAGGCCCAACAGCUGGGCCGCACCUUUCCAAGUGAAUGACAUGAUCGGUAGAUCGAGUUUCAAAUCUUCGAUUUCUGCCGUAGAACAAGGUGAUGUAUCCCGAUCCAUCCCUCUCCAACCACGAUUCGGUGAGUUGCUGAGGGAGGUCAAGCUACACAGGGCACGGGGUGGAUGCCUUGGCGCCAAGAGCCGAUGAAGGACGUGGCAGGCAACGAAAUGCCUCGGGGAGCUGCGAGCGAGCGUUGAUCCGAGGGUGU
rnacentral:sRNA from 1 species